rnacentral:sRNA from 1 species
GCCGGGUGUAGUGGCGCACACUUGUAAUCCCAGCAGUUUGGGAGGCUGAGGCAGAAGGAUCGUGAGUUCAAAGACAACCUCAGCAAUAUAGUGAGGCGUUAAGCAACUCAGUUAAACCCUGUCUCUA